CUCACACACACGUGCAUGCUCUCUCACUCUCUCUAAGAAGGAAGGAAAGAAAAAAAGAAGAAAGAAAGAAAAAGAAAAGAAAAGGUUUGAAGACCGAGGUUUGAUAUACUCCAACAAGGAAAUAUCUAAAAAGAAACUGGGGCUAAAGAGAACAAACGGUACUUGCCUCACUCAUCCAUAGACAAGGGCAACGCAGUGUAAAUGUGUUCUGCUUGACUUCUGGAUUGUGCAAAGUGAAGUCAUGUAUAUAAAAGGGCUUGCUUGCCCCAAGAAGUGCAAUUACACGUGUAAAAUGCUAGACACAGGAGUGACUUGAU